ACUCCCUAUUGUGUUUGUAUGUGUAUGCGUUUCCUGCGUCAGCGUGUCCUCUGUACUGUAUUUUCGAAAUGAUUUCGUUCGAAGAUAGUGUUGUGGACGAGCGAAAGGCUGAAGUAUUUGAAAUUCUCCCGCAGUGGAAAACACGUGUGUUGGAGCUGCACAGAAAUGAUUGUAAUGUGCAAGAAAUUUAAUCUUUAAACAUCCUUGUUUAUGUUAAAACAAGGGACGAGUUUGGACAGUGGUUGGCACAGUUUGAAAACAUAACAAAAACAACUUAUACAAUAAGGUGCACUGAACCUGCAUCAGGAAAGUAUGUUGUUUUCAAACAAAGGCUGGUCUGUCACCACAAUACUCGCAGUAUAAAAGUUCAUGGUUCAGUGCAAAGGGCAACAAAAAACACUAACUGUCCAUCAAAAAUGACAGUGACAAUUCAUGCUGUGCAUGAUAGAUACAGAGGUAAGUCUGUAGAGAAAGCAAUGCCCUACAAGGAAAUGCCGUGUGAGGUUAACUUGGUGUUGGGUCAUAACCACAGUGUUGAGAGUGCUGCUGCUUUAAGAUUUAGGCAACCAUCAAGUGAUGUCAAAGAAAAAUUAAUAUCCCUGUUUGAAAGAGGUCAUUCACCAGCCACUGCUCUUGAGUCAAUAAAGGUUGAAAUUCAGCUGAAUUGUUCAGAUUACCCUUUAGUCCUUGCAGACAGAAGCAGGUGUCCUGAUUACAACUUUUGCCACUAUUUGCUCAACAAAGUUUUUAAGAAAAAGUAUGGGCCAACAGACUUCAACAAAGAAGGAAAGCAGCUGUUACAACAGAGGUUAGAGGAAUACAACAGCGAAGUUGGAGCUGUGUGUGCCAAGAUGAUUCAGAAAGAUGAUGAUUAUAUAGUAUGCAUUUGCUCACCACUGAUGCAAAAAGUCCAUACUCAUGUAAAAGCUGCUUCCAAACUUGUAUUUAUGGAUUCCACUGGUUCUCUGGAUCAUGAUAGCAGCAGAGUGUUCGUUUUACUUACUCACAGUGAGUGUGGACGUUUACCACUAGGAGUUCUGAUUAUGUCUUCAGAAAGCUGCGGAGUUAUAGAAAUGGGACUAGAGUUGCUGAAAGAGAUAGUGGGGGAAAAUAUUUUUGGGGGAAACAUCAAUGGCCCAAGUGUGUUUCUGACUGACGACAGCCAGUCAGAACAAAAUGCAAUUAGAAGGUGCUUCCCAAACACAAAAACUUUGUUGUGUAUAUUCCAUGUCCUGCAGGCAGUGUGGCGCUGGCUUCUCAAAGCAAAAAAUGCUAUACCACAGCAAAAACAGUGUGAGUUCUUCCAGAAUUUCAUAAAAAAUAAUGUUUGCGCAAACAAAAAAUGAAGCAGUGGUAAACUAUAAUGUAACAAGAGCGAACAUCGGUGAAAAUCAUCAAAAUUUAUUGAAAUACUUGGAAGGGUAUUGGGAUAGGAGAGAACUGUGGACCCUUUCAUAUCGGCGAGGUAUGCUUAUUGAAGGGCACAACACAAUAUAAGUGAGGCCUUCAUGAGAAUUUUAAAGGACAGGAUUUUUGAGAGGGUGCGUGCCUUUAAUGUGGUUCAGAUGGUGGACUUUUUUCUCACACAGGUGAAUUUGUAUUUUCAGAGGAGACUUCUUGAUGCUGCUAAUGGAGCAAGUCCUAAGUCUUUCUGUAGGCCUAUAAAGGCUCCUUCACAGGAGAUUCUAGCAAAAAUCAGACAAGUCAAUGAGGAUGUUCUGCUCGUUCCCAGUGAAGAAAGGGAGAAUUAUUAUUACAUUGUUAAUAUGGCUUUUCUUGUUUGCACUUGUUGCCAAGGCAAUACAGGGAAGAUCUGCAAACAUAUAGACUGGGGCAGUACUGUUUUACCAUCAGGAAACUACAGGGAGGUGACUGAUAGUGACAGUAUACGCAGACUGUAUUAUUUUAUUGCUACAAAUGAGGAGCCUCCUGAAGGGUGGCUAGAGCCUCUGUAUUGCUCUCAGAAUGCAGGGGCUUCAAGUUCUUCGGAACGUUUGGAGCAAAUGGACACAGGUUUGCUCUGUGAAAGCCAAGAAGAGAUGCCAGAGACACUUCACAUGGAGACAGUUCCAGACAAUAGAAAUAAUAAUUUAAUCGACGAGAUAAAAGCUCGUCUCAUAGAUUUUUCAAAUAAAUCCCCUGAGGAAAUGAGGAAAGGCCUUGAAGUCAUGUGCGAAAAAUUGAGAAAGCUUCAAACGCCAUCUGCAUGUGCAUCUUAUUUGGCAAAUUUUGGUGAAGGGAAGUAAAACAUACUUUUAUAUAGAUGUUAUGGCAAGUAAUUCAAUAUUGUAUGAAUUCUAAUUUUUGUUACAGGAAAAUCUAGAAAAAAUCGUGGUAACUAUAUUCCCGUUCAGCCCACUGCAAUAAGCAGAAGAAAAAACAAGUUGGCAGGUCCCAGAUGUCAUCCGGGGGGAAGACAAAGACCACACUCUAAGCAAAGCAAGGAAUUUGUAAAGACAGUAGAAAUUUCUAAAGUCAUGUAUGGCAUUUUGAAAUUUAUCUAGCAACUUUCCUUUCCCCAAAGGGCGUAUUAAGGAAUAAAGCUACCUUUCCAUCACCAGCUACGCAAUCAUCCCAGUCAGCUUCAGGCUUUUGAAGGUGCGCGACUGUUUACUGCAGCAUAGUGUGUAGGAUUUUCUUAAUCUGAGAUCCAACGUAAUGGAACUAUUAAGGGAAUGAUUGUAGUAAUUAAGUUUUUUCUUAAAGCUCAGGCCUAGCCUGACUGCUGAAGUAUAUUAAGUUUUUUUGUUGUAGCUCUGGUCUGACCCGAUUAUUCCUGGUGGGGUCAGGGAUUUUCUCUGCCUCGUGAUGACUGGGUGUUGUGUGAUGUCCUUAGGUUAGUUAGGUUUAAUUAGUUCUAAGUUCUAGGGGACUGAUGACCAUAGAUGUUAAGUCCCAUAGUGCUCAGAGCCAUUUUCUAACCCGAUUAUUGAAAUAAGUUGUUUCUUAAAGCUCAGACCAAACUUACUAUUGAAAUAUAGAAGUUCUUCUUUAAAUUGGGAUAUCCCAACAAUGUGGAUACUUAUUGUGUAUGUUGCACAAGUUUCUGGGAAAUGUGAAUUAUCUUUUCUUAAAAUGUAAACUAUAUUUUAUAUUCUGCAUAUGACUUUUUUUAUUUACAUCUGUUCCUUCAGGUUACAUGUAGCUUAUUUAAUUUGUCAUAUUAUGUCUGCUUUCUGAAGUACUUCUG